GCCAGGUUUUUUUAAAAAAAGGAAAGAAAUCCUCUGAAAGAGGAUCUGGGGUUCCAGCCUAGGGGUUCUGUCAAGCCUCCGUCCCCGGUCUUCUCACGCGCUCACGCGCUACCACACAUAGUGGUCAGAGGGUUAAAAAACCUCAUUCUUUCAAGAAAAUCGCAGGCAAUCGAGGAAAGGAGGCCACCAGCGUUGAUUCGGCCGUCGAUCACAGCGUGAUACUUGGCCGGAGUCACGGCGUUGAUUCGGGUCAAUGCGAGACGAACAGACACGAGUCGAAGGGGCGUGACUCUUGGACUGAUUGCGGCGCGAAGCUUCUGGAAACCCUAGGGUUUCCAGAUUUAGUUUAAGCACUGGGCCUCACUGGUUUGGGUCUGGCUCGGGUAUUCGAGCUUGGGUGUAACCGGGUUUUGGGUAGUAACGGGUCUGCUGGGUUUAAGCUAAAUGGGUCAAUAAAUUGUAAUGGGCUGUAAAUGAAAUUUGGGCUUUGUACAUGGACUAUAAUAAAUAAACAUUUAUUUAUUUAUUUAUUAUUCUUGGUUUUAAAGCCCGGGCAGAAAUGGGCUACUACAAAGUCGAUCCUUGUUUUUUUUAAAAAUGGUUUCAACAAUCAAUGUUGGAGAAUGAAGAAGAAA